CAAGCCGUGUACAAUAUUACUGGGCGAAAGGGCGCGUAGGCGGCCGAGUAAGUCGCGUGUGAAGGUGAAAAAGGGGGACGAGCAUUGCACGUGAUACUGCCUGUCAAAAAAAAAGGAAAGGCGAGCGGAAUUCCCGGUGUACGGUGGAAUGCGUAGAUAUCGGGAAGAACACCUGUCCGCUCCAAGCAGAUCGCUGGGCCUUGUCUGACGCUGAAGCGCGAAAGCGUGGGGAGCAAACAGGAUUAGAUACCCUGGUAGUCCACGCCGUAAACGAUGGGUACUAGGUGUUGGGAGGCUUGGCCCUCUCAGUGUCGUCGCUAACGCAUUAAGUACCCCGCCUGGGGAGUACGGCCGUAAGGCUGAAACUCAAAGGAAUUGACGGGGGCCCGCACAAGCGGUGUUUUUUUUUUUUUUUAAUUCGAAGCAACGCGAAGAACCUUACCUGGGCUUGACAUGUCGGUGGUACCUCCCCCCGAAACGGGGAGGAACCCUUCGGGGAUUCGUCA
rnacentral:rRNA from 1 species